rnacentral:rRNA from 1 species
CCCUUAGAUGUCCUGGGCCGCACGCGCGCUACAAUGAUAAAUUCAGAAUGUUUUUCCUGCCCUGGAAAGGUGUGGGUAAUCAUUAUAGUAUUUAUCGUGUUAGGGAUCGAUCUUUGCAAUUAUAGAUCUUGAACGAGGAAUGCCUAGUAAGUGCAGCUCAUCAGGCUGUACUGAUUACGUCCCUGCCCUUUGUACACACCGCCCGUCGCUCCUACCGAUUUCGAGUGUUCAGGUGAAUCUUCUGGACUGAGUCGCAAGACCCGGGAAGUUAGAUAAAUCUUAACACUUAGAGGAAGGAGAAGUCGUAACA